GCUUAGAGUUUGAUCCUGGCUCAGAACGAACGCUGGCGUCAGGCCUAACACAUGCAAGUCGAGCGCGCCCUUCGGGGUGAGCGGCGGACGGGUGAGUAACGCGUGGGAACGUGCCCUCUUCUGCGGGAUAGCCUCUGGAGACGGAGAGUAAUACCGCAUACGCCCUUUUGGGGAAAGAUUUAUCGGAAGGAGGAUCGGCCCGCGUUGGAUUAGGUAGUUGGUGGGGUAAACGGCCUACCGAAGCCUACGAUCCAUAGCUGGUUUUAGAGGAUGAUCAGCCACACUGGGGAGUGAGACACGGCCCAGACUCCUACGGGAGGCAGCAGUGGGGAAUCUUAGACAAUGGGCGCAAAGCCUGAUCUAGCCAUGCCGCGUGAGUGACGAAGGUCUUAGGAUCGUAAAGCUCUUUCGCCUGUGAUGAUAAUGACAGUAGCAGGUAAAGAAACCCCGGCUAACUCCGUGCCAGCAGCCGCGGUAAUACGGAGGGGGUUAGCGUUGUUCGGAAUUACUGGGCGUAAAGCGCACGUAGGCGGAUCAGAAAGUUGGGGGUGAAAUCCCGGGGCUCAACCCCGGAACUGCCUUCAAAACUUCUGGUCUGGAGUUCGAGAGAGGUGAGUGGAAUUCCGAGUGUAGAGGUGAAAUUCGUAGAUAUUCGGAGGAACAUCAGUGGCGAAGGCGGCUCACUGGCUCGAUACUGACGCUGAGGUGCGAAAGUGUGGGGAGCAAACAGGAUUAGAUACCCUGGUAGUCCACACCGUAAACGAUGAAUGCCAGUCGUCGGGUAGCAUGCUAUUCGGUGACACACCUAAACGGAUUAAGCAUCCGC
rnacentral:rRNA from 1 species